AGCAGUCGCCACGGUAAUACGAAGGGUGCAAGCGUUACUCGGAAUUACUGGGCGUAAAGCGUGCGUAGGCGGUCUGUUAAGUCUGCUGUGAAAUCCCCGGGCUCAACCUGGGAAUGGCAGUGGAUACUGGCAAGCUAGAGUGUGUCAGAGGAUGGUGGAAUUCCCGGUGUAGCGGUGAAAUGCGUAGAGAUCGGGAGGAACAUCAGUGGCGAAGACGGCCAUCUGGGACAACACUGACGCUGAGGCACGAAAGCGUGGGGAGCAAACAGGAUUAGAUACCCCCGUAGUCCCUGUCUCUUAUAC
rnacentral:rRNA from 1 species